rfam:Gossypium hirsutum cultivar TM-1 chromosome 7, whole genome shotgun sequence
AUUCCAUGAUGAGGGAACUUUCGUAACAAUUCAUUAAACCUUUCGUACGCCUCAUACAAGAACUCGUCAUCCAUCUAUUAGAAGGUAGAGAUCCCAUUCCGUAACU